rnacentral:tRNA from 1 species
GAGGGUAUAGCUCAAGUGGAAGAGCACAUGCUUAGCAUGCAUGAGGUCCCGGGUUCAAUCCUGGUACCUCCU